UUUCAAACAACUUCAGUCUCUUUCAGCCUCUCGCGGUAACUAGAUGCUAGGGAAUGUGUGGGCCAGGGAGCGUACCUAAGGAUCUGAAGACAACAGUGAAGUGAGAGUCAUCUUCACCUCAUUUUCAGUGUUUGUGGGGAUGUUUUAUGCCCCUUUAAGUUCUUCAACACCCAAUGUAACAUGCUGGUUGGUCGCUUGUGUUAGUUACAAGGUGUACGGUAGUGUUACUUUAAUCGUAUGAAUUUUUAGCCAGGCGAUUCCAGUACAGGAAACCCAGGGGGCCCAACCAGAAACAUUCCUCACUCUCCAUACAUUUCUGAAGAAUAAUUCAUCGUAAAUAAUUCUUUGAUAUAACUCUCAAAACUAACAAUAACUUGAAAUAACGAUCAACAUGAGGAACGCGAAAUAUACAUAUAAUUCAUGCGUAUGAGAGCAGAAGAUAACUACAGACAUGGCCAGCAAUUUCGGCGGAAAGAAGAAAUCGAAUUUCAUCGAACCCAGUACUCAACUGGUACUUAUUUUAUUGACUCCAAAAGGAUGAAAGGCAAAGUUAACUUCGGCAGAAUUUGAACUCGGAGCGUAAAGACGGAUGAGAUGCCCGGUGUGCUAACGACUGUACCAGUUCAUACCGCUCGAAAAUUUUGCUCGGUAUGCUAACGAUUCCGCCAGCUCACAACGUUAAUAUUGAUAAUAUAAAUAAUAAUUGCUUUAUUGGUCUCAGAGACUGCAGACAUAUCUAGGAAGAUACAAAGACACGCAAUACUGUGGAUUUACAUAAAUACAUGAUGAAAAUCAAUAAUAAAAAUAACAAUUAACGAUCCAGCUUCUGAAGACUGGUUCGAAAUCCAGCGUCUUGAGAACUGUUGCCAAACGUUAUAACCAAAUCUAUAAAAAUCUUGAAUGUUUUAAAUUGAUCAGAGCCCUAUUCACGUUAGGUUCCUUAUCCUUUCUAUGAUAUAUCGCUUGAGUUUUAAGUUGUUAUGAACAGACAUGCGUGAGAUAGCAAAUGUCUAGGCAUUACCGACAAGAAAAGUCGAUGACAAGCGCCAAUAUCUUAGAUUUUGCCAAGAUAUUAGCGAACAAAUCUGGAUUAUGAAAAGCAUAUUUUAUACGGCAGGCCAUCCAGUCUCUAUUUUUUAAUUUCUUUAGUAUCAACUCUGCUAUUAUAAAGAAUUUCAAAACA